rnacentral:rRNA from 1 species
CCUACGGGUGGCAGCAGUGGGGGAUAUUGGACAAUGGGGGGAACCCUGAUCCAGCGACGCCGCGUGAGUGAAGAAGUAUCUCGGUAUGUAAAGCUCUAUCAGCAGGGAAGAAGAAAUGACGGUACCUGAGUAAGAAGCCCCGGCUAACUACGUGCCAGCAGCCGCGGUAAUACGUAGGGGGCAAGCGUUAUCCGGAAUUACUGGGUGUAAAGGGAGCGUAGACGGUGAUGUAAGUCUGGAGUGAAAGGCGGGGGCCCAACCCCCGGACUGCUCUGGAAACUAUGUGACUGGAGUGCAGGAGAGGUGAGCAGAAUUCCUAGUGUAGCGGUGAAAUGCGUAGAUAUUAGGAGGAACAUCAGUGGCGAAGGCGACUAUCUGGCACAUAACUGACGCUGAGGAGCGAAAGCGUGGGUAGCAAACAGGAUUAGAUACCCCAGUAGUC